UUCUCCGGCUAUCGGGCCAGCCUCAAGACCAAGGCCGCCGAGACCCUUGCCCAGCUGGCGACGCUGGAGGAUGCUGAGAAGACGGUUGAGGAGCGGCGCACCUUCUUGUACAACCAGGUGGUGACCAGCUACCACAAGGCUAAGAUCGAGCGAGCCGGCUUGGCUCGCGAGCUGGAGGCUGUCAAGGUUGAGGCCGCCAAGGUCCCGCAGCUGGAGUCGGAUCUCCGAGCCGCUCGCGCGCAGUGCGCCGAGAGCGAGGAGGCGGGCCGAUCUGCCGCAGCCAAGCUCAAGCUGGCUGAGCAGGAGCUGACACGGCUGCGCCUGCUGGAGAAGAACCACAUCACCGAGCUCAACU